CUCACAGCUCACAGCUGCCGGCUGCGGGCGAGCCCCAGGGCUCUGCAGGCUCCCACGUCUGCCGCCAGCAUCAGGAGCUGGAUGGGAAGCAAAUCUUCCCUGCCAAGCCUCUCUUCAAAAGGACUUACAACCGUGUCUAAGGGCUGAUGGUAAAGACAGGGUAUUUUCCAGGCAGGCCCACGCACUUGUAUCAUGGCAGAUACUCUUGGCCUGGAAACCUGUGUGGCCUGGGGGGACGCCAGCGCUCAGGCUGCCUCACAGCACAGGCAUUUUGACAUUGCUGUUAUUUUCUCUUUCCAGGUACUCCAAAGACAGGUGGUGGCUUAAUUCAGCGCUUAUGGCAACCCGCAGCAAACCUUAGACGGAAUUCCUGACUCGCAGAACAGCGAGCAAACGGGAAAGCUGGACCACAACGGAGCACCACCAGGCCACCCCUCUCCACUCACCCUCUGUCAAACUCGGCCACGUCGCUCAGCUGUCGCCGGUGUUCAAAAUCCACUUCUGGGAGACAGCAGGAAAGAUGAAACACUCGGCAUCCUCACCAGUCCCUGAGGAGGAGAGAUGGCUAGCAGCCACCAGCACCCUUUCUGGACCAAGAUGACGAUGUACCAAGGAAAUUGGUGCUAAACCAUAAAAGGCACCUGACUAGGAAAGGGCAGGAGAAGGAUGGGAAUAUCUGCUCUGCCUGGAGUGGUGAAGAACACUGGUAAGUCCUCAAAAGAAAAUCUGCCUCUGUCCUUCCCCCUC